AACCAUAACCUAAUCCCCCCAAGACUUCUCCUUAUUUAAGAGCUCUUCUUAAUACGUACUAUUCUUAGACAGACACAUGAUCAGACACUUUGAGAGUGAAAAAUAGAGAAACAAAGAAAAAUUAUCAGAGAUUGAAAAACUAAAAAAAAAAAAAUCAAUGAAGGAAAAAUCAGAGAAGGAAACAACAAUCAAAAUCAGGCAAAAGAGAAAAAGGAGAAAAGAAAGAGUGGUGAAUUGAGUUUCGAGUUUCCAUUCGAGUUUUGGCAUAUAUUUCUUGCUUCAUACAGGUUCAAUUGUUCAUUACACUGUGUACACCUCUUGGGAUUUAUGAUCAAUCUGAGGAGGAGCAAGGGGAAAAAGGCACCAACUUUACCCGAGGCUAUAACUUCAUCAACAAGAAAGAGUUCAACAACAAUUAUGGUCGCUACAAAUCCACCACAUAGGUAGUAGAUUGCACCCCAUCGGAGUUAAUACCAAUGCUUGAGAGAAACAAAACUAGGAGAUAUGAAUCAAAGAGACUGCACGGG